rnacentral:rRNA from 1 species
AUACGUAGGGGGCGAGCGUUGUCCGGAAUUAUUGGGCGUAAAGGGCGUGUAGACGGUCAUAUAAGUUACAGGUGAAAGCCCAUUUUUCAAGGAUGGAACUGCCUGUAAGACUGUAAGACUUGAGUGCAGGAGAGGGAAGCGGAAUUCCAAGUGUAGCGGUGAAAUGCGUAGAUAUUUGGAGGAACACCAGUGGCGAAGGCGGCUUUCUGGACUGCAACUGACGUUGAGGCGCGAAAGCGUGGGGAGCGAACAGGAUUAGAUACCCUGGUAGUCCACGCUGUAAACGAUGGAUGCUAGGUGUGGGGGGUAUCGACCCCCUCCGUGCCGGAGUUAACGCAAUAAGCAUCCCGCCUGGGGAGUACGGCCACAAGGUUGAAACUUAAAGGAAUUGACGGGG